rnacentral:rRNA from 1 species
GAUGAACGCUGGCGGCGUGCCUAAUACAUGCAAGUCGAGCGAACAGACGAGGAGCUUGCUCCUCUGACGUUAGCGGCGGACGGGUGAGUAACACGUGGAUAACCUACCUAUAAGACUGGGAUAACUUCGGGAAACCGGAGCUAAUACCGGAUAAUAUAUUGAACCGCAUGGUUCAAUAGUGAAAGACGGUUUUGCUGUCACUUAUAGAUGGAUCCGCGCCGCAUUAGCUAGUUGGUAAGGUAACGGCUUACCAAGGCAACGAUGCGUAGCCGACCUGAGAGGGUGAUCGGCCACACGGGAACUGAGACACGGUCCAGACUCCUACGGGAGGCAGCAGUAGGGAAUCUUCCGCAACGGGCGAAGGCUUGACGGAGCAACGCCGCGUGAGUGAUGAAGGUCUUCGGAUCGUAAAACUCUGUUAUUAGGGAAGAACAAAUGUGUAAGUAACUAUGCACGUCUUGACGGUACCUAAUCAGAAAGCCACGGCUAACUACGUG